GACGAACCGUGCGAACGUUAUUCGGAAUUACUGGGCGUAAAGGGUCCGUAGGCGGUGCGGCAAGUCGAUAGUGAAAUCUCUGGGCUUAACCCAGAGGCUGCUAACGAAACUGCCAUGCUAGAGUGUGAGAGAGGCGAGUGGAAUUACGGGUGUAGCGGUGAAAUGCGUAGAUAUCCGUAGGAACAUCCGAGGCGAAAGCGGCUCGCUGGAUCACAACUGACGCUGAGGGACGAAAGCUAGGGGAGCAAACAGG
rnacentral:rRNA from 1 species